AGUGAACGCUGGCGGUAGGCCUAACACAUGCAAGUCGAACGGCCGCACAGUAAGAGUGCGUUCUUACGGUUGGCGACGGGCGGGCGGGUGAGACAUGCAUAGCCUACCUCUUUUUCGGGGGGAACAUCGGAGGGCAGGUGAUGCUACUAGCGCAUACGUUCAACCGCAGGAAUCAAAAGAGCAUCGCACCUUGGCCGUCUCUUAUAGCCGAUGCCGCAUUAGCUUGUUGGGGGGGUAACGGCUCACCAAGGCAACGAUACGUAGCCGGUCUGAGAGGAUGAUCGGCCACACUGGAACUGAGACACGGUCCAGACUCCUACGGGAGGCAGCAGUGGGGAAUAUUCGGCAAUGGGCGCAAGCCUGAUCCAGCAAUGCCGCGUGAGUGAUGAAGGCCUUCGGGUUGUAAAGCUCUGUUGUUAGGGAAGAAAAUAUGCGUAUUAAUCCGCGGCUGUUCUGACGGUACCCAAAGAGAAAGCCCCGGCUAACUUCGUG
rnacentral:rRNA from 1 species